AUUGGAUGUAGCAAUAUGUCCAUGAGAGUGGCGCACGGGUGCGUAACACGUAUGCAAUCUGCCCCUGUCAGGGGGAUAGCCUCUCGAAAGAGAGAUUAAUACCCCAUACUAUAUGUAGUUGGCAUCAUCUAUAUAUUAAAGAUCCGUCGGACAGGGAUGAGCAUGCGGCUGAUUAGCUAGUUGGUGAGGUAAUGGCUCACCAAGGCAACGAUCAGUAGGGGGUCUGAGAGGAUGUCCCCCCACACUGGUACUGAGACACGGACCAGACUCCUACGGGAGGCAGCAGUAGGGAAUAUUGGUCAAUGGGGGCAACCCUGAACCAGCCAUGCCGCGUGCAGGAUUAAGGCCCUAUGGGUCGUAAACUGCUUUUGUAUGGGAAAAAAUCACUUUACGUGUAAGGUGUUGAUGGUACCAUGAGAAUAAGGAUCGGCUAACUUCGUGCCAGCAGCCGCGGUAAUACGAAGGAUCCAAGCGUUGUCCGGAUUUACUGGGUUUAAAGGGUGCGUAGGCGGAAGUCUAAGUCAGUGGUGAAAGCCGGCAGCUUAACUGUCGAACUGCCAUUGAAACUGGGCAUCUCGAGUGCGGUUGAGGUGACUGGAAUGUAACAUGUAGCGGUGAAAUGCAUUGAUAUGUUACAGAACACCGAUUGCGAAGGCAGGUCACUAAACCGUAACUGACGCUGAGGCACGAAAGCGUGGGGAUCAAACAGGAUUAGAUACCCUGGUAGUCCACGCCCUAAACGUUGCAUACUCGGACUUAGCGAUAUACAGUUAGGUCCCAAGCGAAAGCGUUAAGUAUGC
rnacentral:rRNA from 1 species